rnacentral:rRNA from 1 species
AAGGACGAACGCUGGCGGCGUGCCUAAUACAUGCAAGUCGAGCGGACUUGCUGGAGCUUGCUCCAGCAGGUUAGCGGCGGACGGGUGAGUAACACGUGGGCAACCUGCCUGUAAGACUGGGAUAACUCCGGGAAACCGGAGCUAAUACCGGAUAGUAUCUUGAACCGCAUGGUUCAAGUUGGAAAGACGGUUUCGGCUGUCACUUACAGAUGGGCCCGCGGCGCAUUAGCUAGUUGGUGAGGUAAUGGCUCACCAAGGCAACGAUGCGUAGCCGACCUGAGAGGGUGAUCGGCCACACUGGGACUGAGACACGGCCCAGACUCCUACGGGAGGCAGCAGUAGGGAAUCUUCCGCAAUGGACGAAAGUCUGACGGAGCAACGCCGCGUGAGUGAUGAAGGUUUUCGGAUCGUAAAACUCUGUUGUUAGGGAAGAACAAGUGCGAGAGUAACUGCUCGCACCUUGACGGUACCUAACCAGAAGCCACGG